rnacentral:ncRNA from 1 species
GCAAGUGCCUCCUGAAAAAAAUCGGGCAUCCUGUAGGGAAACUUCAGGUAUGAAUGUGGUCAAAUUCAAGGAAUCCUAAGUCUAGAUAGUUUAGAUAAGGUAAUCUUGAGCCAAGCUCUAUGUCACUCUGGUAGAGAAGGUGCAGAGACUAGCCGUAGUCCAGUAACAGAGAAUUGUUAUCGAGUAACAAUGGAUACGGCACAACGGCCACCACCUAAAGACUAAUUUUUGUCUAUGGUGAAGAGAUAGUCCAGAGAGUAAGGAAACUUACAC